UGUACGCACUUGACCGAUGGACCCUGGCUUGGACGGACGUUUGGACGCCAUGGACGGAGCCAGGCAGAGCCGUGGCUCAAGAUGUCGCCGGCGUCCUGAUCUGUGGAUCAGAUCCGGUGCUUUCCGGUAGUGGCGGCAGGGCACGCAGUAAAUGCAGAAGUUGGGCGCUGAGGGCAAGCUAUCCCCUACCCAGUGAAGUUGGAUCUUGCAUUCUUCAAGGCGGGGAACCGGUGGAGAAAUUUCCUGCGGGAAAGGGGAGUGGGCGGUCCAGCGAGCUCCCAGGUCCUCCGGCGAGCAUGGAGUUCUUGUUGCAGCCAUUAAACAGUACCACAACACUGCUAGAGAAGGUUAACGAGAACAACAACACCAUUGAGCCUCUUCACUACCUAGUCAUGGCGCCGGCGGAGGUUGAGCUGCCGGCCCCGGCGGCCUCAAGUGCAGACGGCCAAAUCUGUGUUGACGGCGCCGCUCCAGAGCCGGCCAGUGCAGACAAGGGUCAAGGUUCAGAGCCUCUAUAGAGCAAGUGGAUCCAAAAACUCCGGGGCGGACGCAAAGAGUGCGUGUUGGCGCUGCCGCACUAGGCUGAGCUCCCUUGCCCUCACAGGAUCUCAGCCCUGGAGAAAUCUGUCCGGCAAUUUGCAGAAAAACCAGGAGACUUUGUCAUUGUGCAAAGAUAGGAACAAGUUUCGACACACUUGGUGAGGUGUACGAUUUUUACAAUUUAUAUUCAUGGGCGAAAGGAUUCGGUAUUAGGUAAGGGAAGAGCAGGCUAAAUGCGGACCGGACAAAAUGCAUGCAAAAGAUAGUCUGUGGGUGUGCGGGGAGACCGCUUACGUGAGCAAACAUCGCAACUAAAAGACAUGCUGGCAAAAUCUACACACGAACCAUGUUCAAGCAGUUUUGCCAUAUAGUAUAUGAGUGCGGAGCAUACCAGAUGGAAGAGAUCGAGAAAGGAAAAACGUAUAUUACAAUUCAUACCGAGGCAGAGCGGCGGGAGAAGUGGUGAGGAAUUUGAUUGUGAAUGCGGCCAGUUCGCACACAUGCAGAUGCUCUACAGCCAUGUCUUGAAGGCUCUGGACUUUAUUCUUAUUGAGGAAAUACCUUGGAAGCACAUAGUGAAAAGAUGGACUAGAGAUGCCAGAGACAUCCUACCCCCUCAUCUGACACAAUAUCAGAAGGACAAUAAAAAAGGGCAACCUGGUGCAUGUAGCUCCCGCUUGCGCAGGGUCCAGGGAAGGGUCCGACCACUUUGGGUCUAUAGUACGCAGCCUUUCCCUACAUUUCUGUAAGAGGCUGUUUCCAGGACUUGAACCCAUGACCUCAUGGUCACAAGGCAGCAGCUUUACCACUGCGCCAAUACAAUAUCAGAAGGACAAUGCUCACAAAAAUUCAUUUAGUUAUAGGCAUUUCAAUAUCAGAAGCAUCUAAUUUCUAUGAUCAAGAAUUGUGCUGCUGGAAUGACACCAGUUGCUGAAAUAAUAAGAUAGUCUUGGAUUAGAGGACAUGAUGGCAGAGAAUGGAGAUGUUGUUAACCAGGUUCAGACACAAGUUGGUAUUCAGUUUGCACCAAACAGAGUGGAUAGUAUUGUUGGCAACGACGAAAUAACUCGGCUAACGAGUCUGGUAAUAGGAUGUCAGGAUUAUUACCUCUGGCUAAGAGGAAGGACAUGGGAAGGCCUACGACAAGCAGAGAGAAAGCGCUUUAUGAAGGUUUGAGUAAGAGAACAAGAUUUUGCACGAUUUCUUGGUGCAAGGCCACAAAUGUACAACUUUUCCCUGAUCGCGGGGAUGUCCCAAAGCAGGUGAGGAAACCUGCACGAUGCAAAAAUUGUAGCAAAAGUC